rnacentral:rRNA from 1 species
GACGAACCGUGCGAACGUUAUUCGGAAUCACUGGGCUUAAAGCGCGUGUAGGCGGGACGGCACGUCCGGCGCUGAAAUCCCCCGGCUCAACCGGGGAACGGGCGCGGAAACGACCGUCCUGGAGGGACGUAGGGGGGCCUGGAACUUCCGGUGGAGCGGUGAAAUGCGUUGAGAUCGGAAGGAACGCCCGUGGCGAAAGCGAGGCCCUGGACGUCUGCUGACGCUGAGACGCGAAAGCCAGGGGAGCGAACGGG